AUUGAACGCUAGCGGGAUGCCUUACACAUGCAAGUCGAACGGAGUGGCGUACGGGUGAGUAAUGUAUCGGAACGUGCCCAGUAGCGGGGGAUAACUACGCGAAAGCGUAGCUAAUACCGCAUACUAUUGGAGCGGCCGCUGUCGGAUUAGCGAGUGGGUGGGGUAACGGCUAACCAAGGCGACGAGCCGUAGCUGUGUGGAGAGGACGACCAGCCACACUGGGACGGAGAAACGGCCCAAACUCCUACGGGAGGCAGCAGUGGGGAAUUUUGGACAAGGGGGGAAACCCUGAUCCAGCCAUCCCGCGUGUGCGAAGAAGGCCUUCGGGUUGUAAAGCACUUUUGGCAGGAAAGCGGUACCUACAGAAUAAGCACCGGCUAACUACGUGCCAGCAGCCGCGGUAAUUC
rnacentral:rRNA from 1 species